rnacentral:rRNA from 1 species
GCGUAGCGGGAAGAGCUCAAAUUUAUAAUCUGGCACCUUCGGUGUCCGAGUUGUAAUCUCUAGAAAUGUUUUCCGCGUUGGACCGCACACAAGUCUGUUGGAAUACAGCGGCAUAGUGGUGAGACCCCCGUAUAUGGUGCGGACGCCCAGCGCUUUGUGAUACAUUUUCGAAGAGUCGAGUUGUUUGGGAAUGCAGCUCAAAUUGGGUGGUAAAUUCCAUCUAAAGCUAAAUAUUGGCGAGAGACCGAUAGCGAACAAGUACCGUGAGGGAAAGAUGAAAAGCACUUUGGAAAGAGAGUUAACAGUACGUGAAAUUGUUGGAAGGGAAACGCUUGAAGUCAGACUUGCUUGCCGAGGCAAUCGGGUUUGCCAGGGGCCAGGCAUCAGGUUUUUCCCGGGGAAUUGGGAUAAUUGGGUAGAGAAGAAGGUAGCCAGUUUUCGGGCCUGGUGUUAAUAAGCUCUCUGCUGGAAUACAUACUUGGGGGGGACUGAGAGAAACCGCAGUGUGCCCUUUGGGCUGGGGGUUUUCGACCUUCUUCAACACUUUAGGGAUGCUGGGUGGAAUGGCUUUAAACG